rnacentral:lncRNA from 1 species
CACAGUGAGAAGGCGGAGGACCAUCUGCAAGCAGGAAGAGAGCCCUCGCUAGAACCCCCCACGGUGGCAUCUGAUAGUGGACUUCUAGCUUCCAGAACUGAACUCAUAAAUGUCACAUCAGGCUGCCUCUUGGUGAAUUUUUAAUCAACGGGGAGAAUUUCAGCUACAAAUAGACCAAGAAUCAAGAGGCCCACUAUUGAUCGGUCAAAGUGGCACUUAUGAACCUGAGGUUGAAGCAGUUUGGAUAAAAGGAUUCUGGGCUUUCGAUGGCCCCAGAGACAUCUUUUUCCAUCAAGUCCAGGCUUGCUGAUCGGUACAGCUGAGAACAUGUUGAAUUUGAUGUGCCUGUGGAUAUUUGAGUCUGGAACAUUGAAGACAAGUUUGGUCUGGAGAUGUAGACUGGGGAUAUCUCAGCACACAGAUGAUAACUGAAAUGAUGGAGCGGAUGAUAUAAACUGGAGAGAGUCUGGUGUGGGAAGAGUCUUCCCUGAGGUGGCCGAAAGAUGUAAUUCUUACUCCAAAGACUGAAAUAGAGACAAGAGAAGCUGAAGUUACAGGGUUUUGUCAUUGGGAAGACAGUAGAGUGUGUCAUAUCCCAAGAGUGAAGCAAGGACAAACCAAAGAACAACUGGGAAGAUCUGGGAGAAAAAGGGAGAGGAGAGCCUGACGUUUCAAGAACUCAAGGUUCAGUACUAGGUCUUAGAGGAAGACUUCAUUUUAGCUUUGAUGCUCUCCGCUAGGCACAGAGAAACUUAAGCAGAAUGACAAGACCUGCUGUUUGAGUAACUCACGUUCUGACCAGAGAGACAGACAUGUCAGCAAGAGGUUACAAUACAGUGUGCUCAGAUUCUCCGGGACUUGGAGCACUUGUUCCAGAAAGGAAGGCCAGGGAAGUCUUCCAGGAGUAGAUGGCGCCUCUGCUGACCUGAAGGGUGAGGAAAAAGUGUC